GUCUACAGCCAUACCAUUCUGAAUGUGCCUGAUCUUGUCUGAUCUCGUGAAGCUAAGCAGCGUUGGGCGUGGUUAGCACUUGGAUGGGAGGCUGCCUGGGAAGACUGGGUGCUGUAGGCU
rnacentral:rRNA from 1 species